UCGCUGAGGAUCAUUACUCUUCGAGUUUGCUGCGUUGCUCGAUUAGAUCUGUCGACCGAGCGAAUAUGACUCCGCGCUCGCAACCGGUCUUUUUACAAGCUGCAAUUUGCUGCUGACCUAAAAAAGCCUGCGUACGCAGUAAAAAACGACUUCCAAAAAUUGUAGGACCCAUUAGUCGAAAUUACAUUCCACCGAAACGAUUGUAAAAGUCUUACUGAAAUGUAGCUACGUUCAUUGCACCUGACGUAUCAUAAUUUCUCGUAUUAUCAUAAUUACCCGUAUAGAAUAUAUUGAGUCCAGCAGUAGUUACCCAACAUGUUUUCGUCCCGAUAUACCUCUCUCUCUGACAACGUUUCUCAAUUACCAUCAAAUCCUAGUGGAAAUUCGUUCGCCUUGCUCAUCACUCAAAUUACUCGGAAAGGAAUACUACGACAUGCUAUAUCUUAAAAAUUCGACCUUACGGAGUCUUUCUAGCGACAGCGUCCUAAAAAUACGUUAGAAAAAAAAUAUUUCUCAUUGAUGUAAGAAAAACGAGUUAGUGAAGUUUGAGAUCUAUUACAUCUCUUAAUACAAUACUUGGCACUUGAAAUACUUACGGGCACGAAGUGCAUCUACGAAGUAAUUUGCAAGCUUCUAGAGGCACGUAUACUUUAAUGUCAGGAGCUUGACAAAGUUCGACGCUUAAUUGACCCACGAUCGUCCUAAUAUAACUUGGCUUCUGUCCACAUGCGUGCUCCUCUAUUUGGACGAAUUAGAGAAGCCAGACGUUCGAACUUGGCGUAAUUAAACGGCGGAUGCACGCUGACCGAAAAUUAAAUUUCUCCACGUUGGCACGUCGAUCUCGCUUGGAAUUAGUUUGUGGCAAAUUAUGACGUAACUCCGUCAAACUAUUUGACGUGGCGCCUCUCCUCGUAUUA